rnacentral:lncRNA from 1 species
UUCUUUUUGGUGAUCACUGCUGUAGCUUCUGCUACGUACACUUUUCUGUCUGAAAAUUAAGAAUUUAUUACAUAAUCGCUUUGUAUAUGAGGAGAAUGUACCAGAAUAAAAAGAGCGUAUGUGGGAUCGGUGGGGUGAGAAUUACAGCCAAAAAAAUGAAGUAGUGGGAUUUCAAGUGCUAACCUCCUGCUACUGGUGAUGGUGGUGGGGUUGUGUUGAGACGAGGUGAUGGGUAUGAGAAGGCGGGCUAGAGCAGUGCUAGUGUUCCUAAACAGUAUGUUAGUAGCACCGAGGUUGAUCUUAGGAAGGAAUUGGAGUCUACAAUAGUGGUGAGAAGUGCCCAUGAAGUUGGAAACGUGAGAUGCUGAGAUGUUCUACUUGUACUUCUUCCACGCCAUUACUGCAGGAAUAGGAAUUUUCUGUUUUUCCUU